UACGAAGGGGGCUAGCGUUGUUCGGAUUUACUGGGCGUAAAGCGCACGUAGGCGGAUCUUUAAGUCAGAGGUGAAAUCCCAGGGCUCAACCCUGGAACUGCCUUUGAUACUGGGGAUCUCGAGUCCGGGAGAGGUGAGUGGAACUGCGAGUGUAGAGGUGAAAUUCGUAGAUAUUCGCAAGAACACCAGUGGCGAAGGCGGCUCACUGGCCCGGAACUGACGCUGAGGUGCGAAAGCGUGGGGAGCAAACAGG
rnacentral:rRNA from 2 species